GUUAAAAAUAAUUUAUAUAUACAUUAGCGACAGAGGCAGGAUUCAUAUCAAGAGGUAAUAUUUAUCCCCACUUAAACAUGGAUGUUCUGUUGGAACAAACUAUACUGCAGUUG